UGGGGAAUUUUGGACAAUGGGCGCAAGCCUGAUCCAGCCAUUCCGCGUGAGUGAAGAAGGCAUUCGGGUUGUAAAGCUCUUUCGCAAGGGAAGAAAACUUAGGCUCUAACAUAGCCUGAGGUUGACGGUACCUUGAUAAGAAGCACCGGCUAACUACGUGCCAGCAGCCGCGGUAAUACGAAGGGCGCGAGCGUUAAUCGGAAUUACUGGGCGUAAAGCGUGCGCAGGCGGUUUUGUAAGUCAGAUGUGAAAUCCCCGAGCUCAACUUGGGAACUGCAUUUGAAACUACAAGACUAGAAUAAGUCAGAGGGGAGUAGAAUUCCACGUGUAGCAGUGAAAUGCGUAGAGAUGUGGAGGAAUACCAAUAGCGAAGGCAGCCCCCUGGGAUAAUAUCGACGCUCAUGCACGAAAGCGUGGGGAGCAAACA
rnacentral:rRNA from 1 species